rnacentral:rRNA from 1 species
CAUUUGGCGAAUGCCUAGGCAAUCAGAGGCGAAGAAGGACGUGAUACACUGCGAAAAGCCGUGGGGAGCUGUGAAUAAGCAUUGAUCCGCGGAUGUCCGAAUGGGGAAACCCGGCCGCAAGGUCACUUUCACACGAAUACAUAGUGUAGAAAGAGCGAACGCAGGGAACUGAAACAUCUAAGUACCUGUAGGAAAGGAAAUCAACCGAGACUCCGAAAGUAGUGGCGAGCGAAAUCGGACCAGCCGAUGGAUUUAUUAAUAAGAAUUGGAAGCAUCUGGAAAGUUGCACCAAAGAAGGUGAUAGUCCUGUACAAGUAGAAAGUUAAUAAAUUCUUGAGUAAGGCGGAGCACGAGAAAUUCUGUCUGAAAAUGGGGAGACCACUCUCCAAGGCUAAGUACUACUGAUUGACCGAUAGUGAACAAGUACCGUGAGGGAAAGGUGAAAAGCACCCCUAUAAGGGGAGUGAAAGAGAACCUGAAACCGAAUGCUUACAAGCAGUCGGAGGGUCUUUAAGGCCUGACGGCGUACCUUUUGUAUAAUGGGUCAGCGACUUAGUGUAUGUAGCAAGCUUAAGCCGAUAGGUGUAGGCGUAGCGAAAGCGAGUUUUAAUAGAGCGAUAAGUUACAUGCAUUAGACCCGAAACCGAGUGAUCUAGCCAUGAGCAGGUUGAAGGUUGGGUAACACCAACUGGAGGACCGCACCCAUAUCUGUUGAAAAAGAUAGGGAUGACUUGUGGCUAGGGGUGAAAGGCCAAUCAAACUCGGAAAUAGCUGGUUCUCCGCGAAAACUAUUUAGGUAGUGCGGUGAGCGGACACCUUGAGGGGUAGAGCACUGAAAGAGCUAAGGGGGAGCGAUCCUUACUAAACUUUAUCAAACUCCGAAUACUCAAGAGUGAUACUCACCAGACAGACAUUAGGUGCUAAGGUCUAGUGUCGAGAGGGAAAGAGCCCAGACCGUCAAUUAAGGUCCCAAAAUUAUGGCUAAGUGGUAAAGGAAGUGAAUUGUCCAAAACAGUCAGGAGGUUGGCUUAGAAGCAGCCAUCCUUUAAAGAAAGCGUAAUAGCUCACUGAUCUAAACAAGACGAUUUGCGCCGAAGAUGUAACGGGGCUAAAGCCAUAUACCGAAAUUACGGAUUUACACGUAAGUGUAAGUGGUAGCGGAGCGUUCUGUAGGCCUGCGAAGGUGAACCGUAAGGUUUGCUGGAGGUAUCAGAAGUGAGAAUGCUGACAUGAGUAGCGAAAAGAAGAGUGAGAGACUCUUCCGCUGAAAGUCCAAGGUUUCCUGCGUAAAGCUAAUCUGCGCAGGGUUAGUCGGCCCCUAAGGCGAGGCAGAGAUGCGUAGUCGAUGGGAAUCAGGUUAAUAUUCCUGAACCAACUAGGAAGUGACGGAUUCAGUAAAUUGUAUGUCCUUAUUGGAUUGGAUAUGCAGUGAAUGAGUUCCAGGAAAUAGCCCUAGUAUAGACCGUACCCCAAACCGACACAGGUGGACAGGUAGAGAAUACCAAAGCGCUUGAGAGAACUAUGUUGAAGGAACUAGGCAAAAUACUUGCGUAACUUCGGGAUAAGCAAGCCCCAUUUUAAGGCAACUUAAGGUGGGGGGCACAUACUAGGGGGUAGCGACUGUUUACUAAAAACACAGGACUCUGCUAAAUUGAAAGAUGAAGUAUAGGGUCUGACGCCUGCCCGGUGCUGGAAGGUUAAGGAGAGAUGUGAGAGCAUUAAACUGAAGCCCCAGUAAACGGCGGCCGUAACAAUAACGGUCCUAAGGUAGCGAAAUUCCUUGUCGGGUAAGUUCCGACCUGCACGAA